GUGCUUGCUUUGGCAGCACAUAUACUAAAAUUGGAAUGAUACAGAGAAGAUUAGCAUGGCCCCUGUGCAAGGAUGACAUGCAAAUUUGUGAAGCAUUCCAUAUUUUU
rnacentral:snRNA from 1 species